AUUGAACGCUGGCGGCAGGCCUAACACAUGCAAGUCGAACGAGUGGCGGACGGGUGAGUAACGUCUGGGAAACUGCCUGAUGGUGGGGGAUAACUAAUGGAAACGGUAGCUAAUACCGCAUACCAUCGGAUGUUCCCAGACGGGAUUAGCUAGUAGGUGGGGUAAUGGCUCACCUAGGCAACGAUCCCUAGCUGGUCUGAGCGGGUGACCGGCAACACUGGAACUGAGACACGGUCCAGACUCCUACGGGAGGCAGCAGGGGGGAAUAUUGCACAAUGGGCGAAAGCCUGAUGCAGCCAUGCGGCGUGUAUGAAGAAGGCCUUCGGGUUGUAAAGUACUUUCAGCGGGGAGGCGUUACCCGCAGAGAAAGCACCGGCUAACUCCGUGCCAGCAGCCGCGGUAAUUC
rnacentral:rRNA from 1 species